UACGUAGGGGGGCUAGCGUUGUCCGGAAUCAUUGGGCGUAAAGCGCGUGUAGGCGGUUCGGUAAGUCCGCUGUGAAAGUCAGGGGCUCAACCCUGAAUGCCGGUGGAUACUGCAGGGCUAGAGUCCGGAAGAGGCGAGUGGAAUUCCCGGUGUAGCGGUGGAAAUGCGUAGAGAUCGGGAGGAACACCGGCGGCGAAGGCGGCUGCCUGGACCAGUCCUGACGCUGAGGCGCGAAAGCUAGGGGAGCAAACAGG
rnacentral:rRNA from 1 species